rnacentral:rRNA from 1 species
AGUGAACGCUGGCGGUAGGCCUAACGCAUGCAAGUCGAACGGCAGCACAGUAAGAGCUUGCUCUUACGGGUGGCGAGUGGCGGACGGGUGAGGAAUACAUCGGAAUCUACUUUUUCGUGGGGGAUAACGUAGGGAAACUUACGCUAAUACCGCAUACGACCUACGGGUGAAAGCAGGGGAUCUUCGGACCUUGCGCGAUUGAAUGAGCCGAUGUCGGAUUAGCUAGUUGGCGGGGUAAAGGCCCACCAAGGCGACGAUCCGUAGCUGGUCUGAGAUGAUGAUCAGCCACAAUGGAACUGAGACACGGUCCAGACUCCUACGGGAGGCAGCAGUGGGGAAUAUUGGACAAUGGGCGCAAGACUGAUCCAGCCAUACCGCGUGGGUGAAGAAGGACUUCGGGUUGUAAAGCCCUUUUGUUGGGAAAGAAAAGCAGCAGGUUAAUACCCCGCUGUUCUGACGGUACCCAAAGAAUAAGCACCGGCUAACUUCGUG